UACGUAGGGUGCAAGCGUUAAUCGGAAUUACCGGGCGUAAAGCGUGCGCAGGCGGUUUUGUAAGACAGGCGUGAAAUCCCCGGGCUCAACCUGGGAAUGGCGCUUGUGACUGCAAAGCUGGAGUGCGGCAGAGGGGGGAUGGGAAUUCCGCGUGUAGCAGUGAAAUGCGUAGAUAUGCGGAGGAACACCAAUGGCGAAGGCAAUCCCCUGGGCCUGCACUGACGCUCAUGCACGAAAGCGUGGGGAGCGAAAC
rnacentral:rRNA from 1 species